CGGGGGGGGCAAGCGUUGUUCGGAAUUACUGGGCGUAAAGGGCUCGUAGGUGGCCAACCCAGUCAGACGUGAAAUCCCUCGGCUCAACCGGGGAACUGCGUCUGAUACUAGUUGGCUGGAAUCCGGGAGAGGGAUGCGGGAAUUCCAGGUGUAGCGGUGAAAUGCGUAGAUAUCUGGAGGAACACCGGUGGCGAAGGCGGCAUCCUGGACCGGCAUUGACGCUGAGGAGCGAAAGCCAGGGGAGCAAACGGGAUUAGAUACCCCGGUAGUCCUGGCCCUAAACGAUGAAUGCUUGGUGUGACGGGUAUCGAUCCCUGUCGUGCCGAAGCUAACGCAUUAAGCAUUCCGCCUGGGGAGUACGGUCGCAAGGCUAG
rnacentral:rRNA from 1 species